rnacentral:rRNA from 1 species
UACGAAGGGGGCUAGCGUUGCUCGGAAUCACUGGGCGUAAAGCGCACGUAGGCGGCUUUUUAAGUCAGGGGUGAAAUCCUGGAGCUUAACUCCAGAACUGCCUUUGAUACUGAGGAGCUAGAGUCCGGAAGAGGUGAGUGGAACUGCGAGUGUAGAGGUGAAAUUCGUAGAUAUUCGCAAGAACACCAGUGGCGAAGGCGGCUCACUGGUCCGGUACUGACGCUGAGGUGCGAAAGCGUGGGGAGCGAUCCGG